rnacentral:lncRNA from 1 species
GUGGAUGGGUAGGAGAGGACAGGGAUGUGGACAAGGAUGACACGGGCACCUGCCCCUGGGCUCCAUCUGACUGUCGCCAUGCAAGCGUGCAGGCCCAUUGUUCUUUGAUUGCUUGGAUUUUCAGAGGAAGCCAGACAUCUGGAAGUUUUUAAAAUGGGAAAUAUUCUAUAAAGAUUUAAAAUUGAAAUGAAUGAAAAAAUAUUGGCAACGAAUUCAAUUUUCAAAGAUAACGGAGACAAACAGAACACCUUUGGGGGCUGGAUUCAACACGUCGGCCACUGGUUCUGAGACUCUGGGCUGGUCAGAGCUGGUUUUGCUGGAGCAAAUGUAACUGGGAAGGAAGGAGUGAGGGUCAGUGGGACAACAUGAGGCCCCUCUGCACGUGGCCUUGAUGGGAUUUGCAGACGGCUUUCUGUAGCUACUAUUUAAGGGUUAAGCAUCGUUUCAUACAGACAGUACUUUGUGGCCGAGAGUAGAGCUUCAACAAGGAAUUUCUACGUUUACCGAUAGAAUCGUGUUGCUGUUCUCAGUCGAAAGAAAAAAAUAAUGGUUCAAGAAGAAGGAAAUCUUCUGUGGUUCUUCAUUUAACUCCUUCUCCUUUGGAAACCAAAGAUGAAUCAUUUUCUCUUAAGUUGAAGUUAGAGUUGGAGUUUCGAGUGACCUGCGGGUCACAGCGCACAGUCUUGAGGAAAUUUGCACACCCCAGGACUCAGGCAGUGGGGUUUUCUACUCCGGUUAAGCCAGCCACACAGGUCGACUGCUUAAACUCCCCGUGUUCUCGGCAGAACCCAAUGCUGCCCACCUGGAGGAAGUGCCGCUGCCGUUCAGACGGAGCCAGCAGCUGGAGGGGAUGUGUGGGCUUGGGUACACCCUCUCCAUCUAAAGGAAGUGUGGGGAGAAGCUGUGGGCAUCCGUAUGUAGGGUCCCUGGCCUCUUGCAGAGUCUAGCAGGGUUGCUCUUCUGAUGCCCAUAGAGUGGGAUGGGACCAGGUAGUCAGUCCUGAGCUGGCAGCAGAAGUGCAUCAUUUCUGAGUGGAGCACUCACUUGCCAGGGCAAGACCCACCAGAGCUCUCUUUUCCCUGAGCCCUGUUUGGGAUGGAGCUGCUCCAUUAGCCUGGUUCUCUGGGUCACUGAGAAUCCCCCAGCUGUCCUUCAGUGGCCUGGGUAUGAGUGAGAAAUAACCCUUUGUUGUUCAGGCACAGAGACCUGGGGUCAGUUUAUUACGCAGCAUAGCCUAGUCUAUUCUGACAGAUACAUGGACCAGCUCUGCCAUUCACUGUGCCUAACUCUCAUUGGUCAGUGAUCCAUGAGGUGACAGCCAACAUCUCACCAUUUCCUGGAGCUCCUGCCCGCUGAGCCACCCAAGUGGCCUCUUAAUAACCAAAUCUCAAGAAGUUGACUCUUUGACCAGGUUCCCCACUGCUUUUCUGGGGGACCCUGGGGACCCAUGUUCUGAGACCCUGCUGGUGGUCAUUUGCACAGCAGCGGGCAGUCUCCCUUGAACCUCAGCUCAGUGCCUUUGCAGGCCACCUCUGAACAGCUUGAGAUGGCUUCUCAGACCGCUUCCACCCUCUGCACCUGGCUUCUCCCCAGUGUGGACACAGCCCCUUCCAUUAACUACUCAAAGCACAGCAAAGAUGGAGCUGUCACAGCUAACACACCUUGAGUGAAGGCCAGGCCAGCACGGAGAUUAUGAUGCAGAAAAAAUUUAACAGGGACUUCCAGCUGUGCUUUCCCCAGCAGGGUCCCCACUGGCUCCAUCUGCCCUUGGUUCUCCCCUUGCUGCCAUGUUUUAGAGGCCUGUCCCCUCCCUCCCAGACUGGGGCUGCCAAUGACCCUGCCCUCCUGUCCCAGAACCCCGCCCCCAAGUGCUAUGAGAGAGAACAGGGGUUCCUCCUCAGCCCCUGAGUCCCGCUGGUCUCCCCAUUGUGACAAUCUUCUGACUUAUAAAUCUGCCUUCAGCAAAGGCAGGCUUUGAGGCUUUUAUUGCAUGCGGCAUCCUAGGUCCUGGGUAUCUCCAACGUUCCAUCCUCCAAGAGGGUUUCAAGUUUACCUUGUACAAUGAUUAAGUGUUUUAUUAUUUUUUUUCCAAAACAGAGUAGCAAUCUGUCUUCAACGAUGAGUCGAAUUGGCCAGCUAGAGAGAGAGGGACACUGCCACCACUUUACAUGGCGUCCACCACCUUUCCGGCUGUACGUUCUACUCCAAGGCGUGAGGACAGGCAUCUGCCUUGUUCUUCUGCACUGGGGAUGAAGGUGCCCAGACGGCACCGCACCUGCCCUCCCAGAUCUCCUUUCCCAGCACCUGGGUUGUAGGAAGAUGUGACAGCUUUGCUGUCCCAGCACCUCCCUGGACUGGAGGUGGACCUCCUGCCCACGACAAGGCAUCUGCUAUCCCAGGACGAGGAGCUUCGGGAGCCCAAGGACACCUGGUUGGAUUUCGUUUGGACUUCAUCGCAUUUGCAGCCUCUUAAGAAUGGAAAGGAAUGUUUGUGUCAGCCCUGAUCCUUGCUUCCCAAUGCAGGGGAGAGGGGUGCGGCUUGCGGCCUCUAGUACAGUACAGCAUUGCACGUUAGAAAUGUGGCAAAGCUGCACCGAACAACAUUGGGACAACAGAGAGAGGACAAAGAUGACUGAGGACCUUUGACCCGAGCACACCAUUGUUAUCCCUUGUCUGCAUUCUCUUGCCAUCUUUUUUCUUUACAUCAUUUCACAUCGCAACCCAAACAUUUUCCAUGCUAACAUAGAGUGUUCUUAACCUUCUUUUGAAUCAUUUGUAAUUUACCACUACUUGAGUCAUCACUCCAACUAGACAUUGUUAUGGGUUAAAUUGUGUCUCCCCUGAAUUCAUAUGUUGGAGUCCUAACUCCCAGAAUGUGCCCUUAUUUGGAGAUACGGUCUUUAGGGAGGUAAUAGAGUUGAAAUGAGGUCAUUAAGGUGGGUUCCAAAUCCAAUGACUGGUGUCCUUAUAAAAACGAGAAAUUUGGACCCAGAGACAGACAUGCAUAGAGGGAAGACGAUGUGAAGAUAUGGGGAGAAGACAGCCAUCCACAAGCCAAGGAGAGAGGCCUGGAGCAGAUUCUCCCUCACAGCCUCAGAAGGAACCAACCCCGCUGAUAUCACAGUUCCGGCCUCUAGAACUGGGAGACAAUAAAGUCCUACUGUUUUAAGC